UAUGUGAUCGUCUCUCGCAUAUCAAUAAGCGGAGGAAAAGAAACUAACAAGGAUUCCCCUAGUAACGGCGAGUGAAGCGGGAAGAGCUCAAAUUUGAAAUCUUAAAGGGUUUCCCUUUACGAAUUGUAGUUUAAAGAAGUGUUUUCUGUUGAGGUUUUGGUAAAAGUUCUUUGGAAUAGGACAUCAUAGAGGGUGAGAAUCCCGUAUUUGACCUUUACUUUCAACUUUGUGAUACACUUUCAAAGAGUCGGAUUGUUUGGGAAUGCAGUCCAAAAUGGGUGGUAAAUUUCAUCUAAAGCUAAAUAUUGGCGAGAGACCGAUAGCGAACAAGUACCGUGAGGGAAAGAUGAAAAGAACUUUGAAAAGAGAGUUAAACAGUACGUGAAAUUGUCAAAAGGGAAGCGUUUGACACCAGUGUUGUUUUUCUGAAAAUCAAUUAAAGAACUGUUUAUGCUAAGCUGUUUAGACUUUAUCAGCUAUCUGUUUAGUUUUGAGCUUUUCUUUAAUGCACUUUUCAGUUAACAAGUCAACAUCAAUUUCUUUCGCUGUAAAAAAGCUUGAGGAAGGUGGCUUGAGAUUCGUCUUAAGUGUUUAUAGCCUCUUGCCUAUGCAGUCGGAGAGAUUGAGGUCUGCAGCGUAGAUCCUUCGGGGCUAAAUGCAUUUGUGCUAAGUUAUAGCAUUUUAUAGACAACUUGUUGACUAUGAUUUGUCUUGUAGCUUACUCGCUUAUGUUAUUUUACCUACGCUUAGGAUGUUGAGCGCAUGUCUCUCUCU
rnacentral:rRNA from 1 species